rnacentral:lncRNA from 1 species
AUGGCAGAAGGGGGGAAUAGUGGGGGAAAAGGAGAAGGAGGAGAGAGAGAAGAAGACAAAAGAGGGGGCAGAAAAGUCGACGCCACAGCAAUCAUGCUCGUCGGGAUUGUGGCCACAAUUGUGUUCGGCAUUGAUGCCAAUGCACCGACCCUAGCCGUGAGCUCUGCAAAUCAGUCAUUCCCUCCAUCUUUGACCGUCCUAAUGAAUCCACAAACUCAGAGCACGCGAGAAGUCAAUGAAAAAAAAUAAAAAAUUAAGAGUUGAUAACCACUAAUUCCCCUUCAAAAAGAGCCAAUUGUAGUGCCUUGAAGAAGGUUAAAUGAUCAAAGAGGAGAGGUAACAGAAUAGAACAAGGACUCACACUAAAUUUCUCAAAUCAGUGUGAGAGGGAGAAGGGGAGAAGAGAGAGAGAGAGAGAAAGGGGAAAGGGGGAUGGAUAGCAGAAGGGGAGAAAAAUUGGGGGAAAAGGAGAAGGAGGAGAGAAGAAGAAGACAAAAGAGGGGGCAGAAAAGUCGACGCCACAGCAAUCAUGCUCAUCGGGAUUGUGGCCACAAUUGUGUUCAGCAUUGACGCCAAUGCCCCGACCCUAGCCGUGAGCUCUGCAAAUCAGUCAUUCCCUCCAUCUUGGACCGUCCUAAUGAAUCCACAUACUCAGAGCACACGAGAAGUCAAUGAAAAAAAAUAAAAAUUAAGAGUUGAUAACCACUAAUUCCCCUUCAAAAAGAGCCAAUUGUAGUGCCUUGAAGAAGGUUAAACGAUCAAAGAGGAGAGGUAACAGAAUAGAACAAGAACUCACACUAAAUUUCUCAAAACCCAGGAGGCAAAAUCAGUGUGAAAGGGAGAAGGGGAGGAGAGAGAGAGAGAGAGAGAGAGGGGGGGGAAGGGGGAUGGAUGGCAGAAGGGGGGAAAAGUGAGGGAAAAGGAGAAGGAGGAGAGAGAGAAGAAGACAAAAGAGGGGGCAGAAAAGUCGACGCCACAACAAUCAUGCUCGUCAGGAUUGUGGCCACAAUUGUGUUCAGCAUUGACGCUAAUGCACCAACCCUAACCGUGAGCUUUGCAAAUCAAUCAUUCCCUCCAUCUUUGACUGUCCUAAUGAAUCCAUAAACUCAGAGCACACGAGAAGUCAAUGAAAAAAAAAAUUAAGAGUUGAUAACCACUAAUUCCCCUUCAAAAAGAGCCCAAUUGUAGUGCCUUGAAGAAGGUUAAACGAUCAAAGAG